UACGGGGGGGGCAAGCGUUGUUCGGAAUUACUGGGCGUAAAGGGCUCGUAGGCGGCCAACUAAGUCCGACGUGAAAUCCCCAGGCUUAACCUGGGAACUGCGUCGGAUACUGGAUGGCUUGAAUCCGGGAGAGGGAUGCAGAAUUCCAGGUGUAGCGGUGAAAUGCGUAGAUAUCUGGAGGAAUACCAGUGGCGAAGGCGACUUACUGGACACGUAUUGACGCUGAGGUGCGAAAGCGUGGGGAGCAAACAGG
rnacentral:rRNA from 1 species